GCUGCGGGUCAGCCUGGGGCGUCCAGGCAGGCCUCUUGCCAUGCAUGACCGAGUAGGCGGGAGGGCGAUUGUCCUCCCCAAUUUCUCGGGCGGCUUUCGGC
rnacentral:sRNA from 1 species